rnacentral:rRNA from 1 species
UACGUAGGCAGCAAGCGUUGUUCGGAGUUACUGGGCGUAAAGGGUGCGUAGGCGGCUUCUUAAGUCUGGUGUGAAAUCUCCCGGCUCAACUGGGAGGGUGCGCCGGAUACUGAGGGGCUAGAGUGUGGGAGAGGAAAGUGGAAUUCCUGGUGUAGCGGUGAAAUGCGUAGAUAUCAGGAGGAACACCGGUGGUGUAAACGGCUUUCUGGACCAUAGCUGACGCUGAGGCACGAAAGCGUGGGUAGCAAACAGG